CUAAGGAGGCGACCAUGAGGAUGGCGGAGCGAUCAGACACAGGUUUGAUCAUUUGUCCCACUUUAUUUUGAAAUUUAAUAAUUUGUCUCGUCCUAUGUAACUUACGUGUAUAGAAUGGAGCUACCUGUUAGUAAGCGGAGCAAAUCAGUAAAGGGUGGACAAAUGAUCAAAACCUACAUUUUCAAUCCUAGAAUUCAAAUAUUUGAGUUCAAACCUUACAAUUUUAGAUUCAAACUUUUUGGCAACGGGGCCAAUAAUUCAGUGAGGAUAGCUCGUCCCAAUUAAUAUUCAGUGUACUACGCUAGUUCCAAUGGAUUGGUGAAAAUAAAAAAAAUAAACAGAAUUUUCAUCGCUCACUACUGUUUUCCCUAUUUUGUCGUGUGCCCG
rnacentral:lncRNA from 1 species